AUGCCCGAAACUGAUAAGAAUUCUUUACUAAGUACUAGUGCCGCAGGAGAGAUUCUAACCCCUGCUGCCCAAGUGCUUAUCGAAGAGUUCCGCUCUGUCAACUGAA
rnacentral:pre_miRNA from 2 species